rnacentral:rRNA from 1 species
GACGAACGCUGGCGGCGUGCUUAACACAUGCAAGUCGAACGGAAAGGCCCUGCUUUUGUGGGGUGCUCGAGUGGCGAACGGGUGAGUAACACGUGAGUAACCUGCCCUUGACUUUGGGAUAACUUCAGGAAACUGGGGCUAAUACCGGAUAGGAGCUCCUGCUGCAUGGUGGGGGUUGGAAAGUUUCGGCGGUUGGGGAUGGACUCGCGGCUUAUCAGCUUGUUGGUGGGGUAGUGGCUUACCAAGGCUUUGACGGGUAGCCGGCCUGAGAGGGUGACCGGCCACAUUGGGACUGAGGUACGGCCCAGACUUCUACGGGAGGGAGCCGUGGGGAAUAUUGCACCAUGGGCGGAAGCCCGAUGCAGCAACGCCGCGGGCGGGAUGACGGCCUUCGGGUUGUAAACCGCUUUCGCCUGUGACGAAGCGUGAGUGACGGUAAUGGGUAAAGAAGCACCGGCUAACUACGUG